rnacentral:rRNA from 1 species
AGAGUUUGAUCCUGGCUCAGGAUGAACGCUAGCGGCGUGCCUAAUGCAUGCAAGUCGAACGGGAACCUUUGGACUCGUCUGAAGGUGAGAGUGGCGAACGGGUGAGUAACACGUAGGUGACCUACCCCAGAGAGGGGGACAACCAGUGGAAACGCUGGCUAAUACCCCGGAUGUCAAUCUGGUUAGAGUGGAUUGACUAAAGCUCCGGCGCUCUGGGAGGGGCCUGCGUCCCAUCAGCUAGUUGGUGAGGUAAUGGCUCACCAAGGCAAAGACGGGUAGGGGGCGUGAGAGCGUGACCCCCCACACUGGUACUGACACACGGACCAGAUACCUACGGGUAGCAGCAGCAAGGAAUAUUGCGCAAUGGGCAAAAGCCUGACGCAGCAACGCCGCGUGAAGGAUGAAGGCCUUCGGGUUGUAAACUUCUUUUCUGGGGGAAGAGAAAGGACGGUACCCCAGGAAUAAGGCCCGGCUAACUACGUGCCAGCAGCCGCGGUAAAACGUAGGGGUCGAGCGUUAUCCGGAAUUACUGGGCGUAAAGCGCGUGUAGGCGGCAGCUUAAGUCGGACGUGAAAGCUCCUGGCUCAACUAGGAGAUGCCGUUCGAAACUAGGCAGCUCGAGGGUGGUAGAGGCAAGUGGAAUUCCCGGUGUAGUGGUGAAAUGCGUAGAUAUCGGGAGGAACACCAGUGGCGAAGGCGGCUUGCUGGGCCAUUCCUGACGCUGAGACGCGAAAGCUAGGGGAGAGAACGGGAUUAGAAACCCCGGUAUUCCUAGCCGUAAACGAUGUCAACUAGGUGUAGGUGGUGAUUGACCCCAUCUGUGCUGUAGCUAACGCGUUAAGUUGACCGCCUGGGGACUACGGCCGCAAGGCUAAAACUCAAAGGAUUUGACGGGGACCCGCACAAGCAGCGGAGCGUGUGGUUUAAUUCGAGCUACGCGAAGAACCUUACCAGGGUUUGACAUAUACGUGGUAGGAAACUGAAAAGGGACCGACCCUUCGGGGAGCGUAUACAGGUGCUGCAUGGCUGUCGUCAGCUCGUGCCGUGAGGUGUUAGGUUAAGUCCUGUAACGAGCGCAACCCUCGUCGUUAGUUAUAAGUGUCUAACGAGACUGCCGGUGAUAAGCCGGAGGAAGGUGGGGAUGACGUCAAGUCCGCAUGGCCUUUAUAUCCUGGGCUACACACGCGCUACAAUGGCCAGUACAAUGGGCAGCCAAGCCGCGAGGCGGAGCCAAUCCCACAAAGCUGGUCUCAGUUCGGAUUGUAGGCUGCAACUCGCCUGCAUGAAGUCGGAGUUGCUAGUAACCGCGCGUCAGCAACAGUGCGGUGAAUGCGUUCCCGGGUCUCG